rnacentral:misc_RNA from 1 species
AAGUCGUAACAAGGUUUCCGUAGGUGAACCUGCGGAAGGAUCAUUAAUGAGUGUGUUGGUUGAUUCCGACUCCUCCCACCCUUGUUUUUAAACAGCUGAAAAGCAGCUUCGGCGGACCGUCUUGAGCAAUUGAGACAUUGGCUUUUCGUUUUAUGGAGAGUUGGUUCGUGUUCGCCGAAGGAAUUUCCAAACUCUUUUUGAAUCAAUUUAUGAAGUCUGAGAAACAAAACAAAAAAAAUAAAUCAAAACUUUCAACAACGGAUCUCUUGGUUCUG